rnacentral:rRNA from 1 species
UACGGAGGGUGCAAGCGUUAAUCGGAAUUACUGGGCGUAAAGCGCACGCAGGCGGUCUGUUAAGUCAGAUGUGAAAUCCCCGGGCUUAACCUGUGAACUGCAUUUGAAACUGGCAGGCUUGAGUCUUGUAGAGGGGGGUAGAAUUCCAGGUGUAGCGGUGAAAUGCGUAGAGAUCUGGAGGAAUACCGGUGGCGAAGGCGGCCCCCUGGACAAAGACUGACGCUCAGGUGCGAAAGUGUGGGGAGCAAACAGG